AAAGCCUUAAAAUUGUUGUGGGUCAAGCCUAGUUUCCUAUUUGACCUAGCUAUAAAAAUGUAAGAAUUUUCUAUUAUUGUUAUUUUCAUCUUCGGACGCCUCUCCGCCUUCCAAGCUGUUGUUGCCUCAAUUCUAAGUUGACUAUACUUCUUCUGUGGGUGGCUGGGUUGUCUCUGGAGUGAAGGAGAAGGAGGAAAUAUCCAAGAUAUGCACUGAAGAUGAUGGAUCCAUUGUUGAUAUAGGAUUAUGAUUGGCCUCCUUGGACGAUCGACAGAAAUGACGUAUUUCCCCUUUGUUUUUGGAUACGUUUUGUGAGCUAACAUAGAUUAGCCUAUCUUAUUUUGUAGCACUAUUGCUCCUUGUAUAAGGAUUUAGUUCACUGUAAAUGCCUUUGUUGCUCAGAAUCUUUAUUUUGCAUGUGUUGUGUAGGCCAAACAUUUUGUAAAUAUGGCUUUAUCUUUGUUGUUCUAAUUUUCAAUUUAGGAAUUUGCAUCUUAUCCAUGUUAAGAAUCUUCCUUCCUACUAGUGGUAAUUGUUAAAAGCUGUUGAAUAUUUUUGUAUGUUUUGAUUGAGUAGCUAGAUUAGCUAGAUAAUCUAAAAAUGUAUUCAAAUUCCUGUAAAUGUGUGUGAUUGUAGCAUUUAUAGUUGACAUCAGGUUUCAUAAUUCUUCCACUGCUUCAAUUAUUUCCCAUGGGAUCUGUCACAUAUUUCUUACAAUAUUAACCAAAUCCAAUGAAUCUGAUUUUAUUUCCAUGUCUCUCAAAUUCCUCAAUGCAUAAAAUCUUAUUGUCUCCAAUAUUCCUAUCAUCUCUACUAUCAUAUUAGUAGUAAUACCCAUCCCACCUGCUUGAGCAUAUACUAAGUUUUCAUCAUCUUCUUUCAUAGCAAAUCUAUAUGCUUUUUGUCCUGGAUUGCCUUUAGAAGCCUCAUCUGUAGUGUAUUUUACCCUCCCAUGUGUGGGUAGUGUCUAUUUUACUGCAUAGUAAUACAGUCUUGGUUUAUAUCUCUUGAACUUGGUCACCAAAUCUACUCAAUUGUUCUGUGUCCUUUACCAAUGGGAAUUUCAACUUUACCACCUGUUUGAGGAAUGUCAUUACUUGACUGUUCAUGCUUUCAAAACUUUGACUCUCUCCAUGAUUCAGUUUAUAUCUCCUUUUCCACAAAAACCAUAUAAUGAUUGUUGGUAACUCUCUGUAGACUUGCUACAAUUUUGUGGGUGCUUCUUUAAACUACCACACUCUGAUCACAUGUGGUAAUUAUGCUCCUUUAAUUUUAAUACCUGCAAAAUCAGCAAAUUGCUUUCAUAGCUUAGUAGCUAUGGGAGCUAUUAGAAAUAAGUGUGCCAUAGUUUCCUAUUUGGGUUCCUCACAACACCAACACCUUGAUGCUAUAUAAAUCCUUAGUUUAGUAAGAUUUUCAUCUGUAGGUAUCCUUUCCUUCCAAGUUCUCCAUAAAAAGAAGCAUAACUUUGUAGGCAGAGUUUUGUUCCAUAUCGAUUUUCACUCCUCGUUGGUCCUUCUUUUCUUCUGUAAUACCUCAUGUGCAUCUUUGACACUGAACUUACCAUCUAAAAUACGCAUCUACCAAGCUUUGUCCCUGUCUUUCUCACUUUUAUAUGGUUUAAUGGUUUCAUUUGUGUUGUACAGCUCUUCUGAGAUAUAUUCUUUCAGCUUUUCCACAUUCUAGGAACCAUCUUUUGUUAUAAAUUCUUUGACUUCUAUCUUCUCCUCAAUAUUAUUUCCUUCUUCCAUAAAAUAUAAAGCUCCUAACUGAGUCCAGUCGUCAAACCAAAAGUCCAUACCUCCUGCUAAAAGAUAUUGUGUUCUAUUUUUUCCUAACAUGUAUCAUUUUUCUCCAAACUUGUGAAAUUCCAAAACCCUUUGCAAUUACAGAAUGCUUUUUCUUAUAAUACUUGUUCCACAUAAAGUGGCUCCACAAAGAGUCUAUAGAUGUUCUGAAAUUCCACCAUAACUUUGCAAACAAAGCGUCAGAAACUGUAUGCAAAGAUAUAAAGCCAAUUCACCCUUCUGUGUUUGGAUAGCAUCAUCCCAUACGACCCAUUCCUUCUCUUUUGAACCUUUUGUUUUGCCCUAAAAGAACCUUGCCAUCAGCCUAUUUAUUUGAUCAAUAACACCUUUCGGAGGUUUCAUUACAGACAUCAAAUAUACUGGCAUUGAUUGCAAGACAUUACAUAAUAAUACAUGCCUUCCUCCAUAAGUUAGCAUCCUGCCAUGCCAAGCCAGAAUUAUUUUAGCAACUUUAUUUAUGAUCUCCUUAAAAUAUAUCUUCUUCUGCCUUCCAUAGAAAAUUGGGAAUCCUAAGUAUGUGAAUGGGAAAUUUCCUAUAGCAAUACAUGUUAAUCUUCUCAGUUUAUGCUUAUCUGCUAUAUGAACUUUCUCGUGUAAAUAUAUAUAGCUCUUAGAAUGUUGAUUAACUGUCUAGAUACUUUCUCAUAAUCCUAUAGUACCCUUAUCAUCUUUAUCACUGAUCCUUUACAACCAGAUUAUUAUGCUUAUUUCUUUUGUUAAUAUCUCUGAUGAUUUUCUAUGCAAGCAAUACAUUUUUAGUUAUGCUUCUUCCUUUCAUGAAAUCAAAUUGAUUCUUUGAAAUAAUAUCAGGUAAACACUUCGCAAUCCUAGCAUGAAUAACCUUUGAAAUGAUCUUAUUGAUAUAAGAACUCAAACUGAUUGGCCUGAAAUCAGUCAUUCUUUUAAUAUUCUUCUUCUUAGGAAUUAAUGCUAGGCUAGUAUGAGUAAUUUACCUUGGUAUCUUCAUCCCAUAAAAGAAAGUCACUAUUACUGUGAAAAUAUCCUUCCCAAUUAUAUCCCAAUAACUUUGGAAAAAUUCACCUGAAAAACUAUCCGAGCCACUAACACUAUCCUUAUUGAGUGAGAAAACUACAUCAUUUACUUCAUCUAUAAUUAAAGUGUUGUCCAUCUCAGUUCUUUUCUCAUCGGUAAUCAGUUUUGGUAGAUUAUCAAUCAUGGAAUAUUCCCCUAUUGGUCAUAGUUCAGUGAAUUGUUCUGUAAACACUCUAACAGAUUCAUCUCCAAUUUCCUGAGCCUCCUUUAAUACCACAUCUUGAUAUUUUUUAUUUUUUUAUUAUCAUAUUUCUUCUCCUUCCUUUGAUGUAUGAGUGUAAGAAUUUAGUAUUCCUAUCACCAUCCUUAAACCAUGCCAUUUUCCUUUUGUUUCCAAUAUUCUUUCUUUAUUUUAUAUAAUUGUAUCAAUUUUUUUCUGCACUUCUUAACUCCAAUCUAUUCUCUUUAGAAUUAUUCAAUUCCAGUUGUACUUCUUUCAUCUUAACAAAAUCUUCCAUUAUGGAUACUUUUUAAAGAUGUUACCAUAAGUAUCUUUGCUCCAUCUAACUAGUUUAUUUUAUAGUGUCUUCAUCUUUACGUGGACAACUUUAAAAGGAUUGUCUUCCACCUUUUCAUCCUAGAUCUUUUUGACCACCAUUUUGAAUUUCACAUGUUUAGUCCAGAAAUUUAAAAAUAUAAAAGGUUAGGAUUCUCUCUCCCGAUUAGUGUUGCAGUGUAGUUGUACUGGAGCAUGAUCAGAUCCCUAUCGUAUUAAGUAAUGAACUUUUGAAGAAACAAAAUCAUUCAUAAAAUCCUGAUUUCCUAAAAUCCUGUCAAGCCUCUUAAAUAUGCAUUCAUCCUCUACUCUACCAUUCUACCAAGUGUAAUCACUACCAACAUACUUUAAAUCAACUAGACUACAGUUGUUAAUACAUUGUGAAAAUUUAGCAACUUCAGAAUAAGUGAUUGGUAGUCCACCCUAUUUCUCUGCUAAAUUCAAAAUAACAUUAAAAUCUCCUCCAACAAUCCAUGGGAGUUUGAUUUGUGAACUUAGAAAUCCCAACUCAUCCCAUAGUUCUAACCUCUCAGUAGCACUAUAUCUUGCAUACAGGGCAGUAAUACAAAUCACCUCUUGUAUUAUAUUAUCGGUGAACUUGAUUGUAAUUUGUUAAAUACUAUCAUACAUUAUCUCUCCUAUCCAAUCUUUGUUCCAAAAAAUCCAUAUUUUGGUAGAAAUAUUUAUAGCAGCAUAUUCCAUCUUCAAUUUUUUCUUGUAUUCAUUUGUUUCUUAAGGUCCUUGAAAAGGUUUUAGAAGGGCUAUGUACACAUGUUUGUUCCUUCUAUUUAAAUCAGUUAUCCUAUCAAAUGAAUUUUGAGUGUUGAUUGAUCUAAUAUUCCAAUAUAUUAGUUUGUCUAUCAGUGUUUAACCAGUGGUGGUUUAAUUGAGCUACUCCUUGUUGUUCUUGUAUUACCAACCUUGCUAGUCUUUUUUCCUUUAUUUAGCUGAUUCACAUGCCUAAGAAAGAGAUCCCCCUGCUUACUAACCUCCCUUAUGUUUUCCUAAAAGCCUUCUCUCUCUUCAUCUUCCACUCUAUCUUCUUCUUCAGGGGACAAAUUCAAUUAUGAAGUAACCUUUUGACUUGACGAUUCUACUAUCUUUCUAGGGUGUUAUCUAGGAUGCAGAGGAAGAGAAUCAUUGUACAUAUUUGCAUACACUUCAUGCAAAAACAUGGAAUUUUUUCUCCCAUUUCUAUUAUCCAGGGUUACUUUUCUAUUUGUUUCUGCCAAGUACCAACUACAGUGAAGAACAAAAAGAAUGGCAGAAUUAUAUUUUUAACUGCCAGUAUCAAAUCAUUUGAUGAUCCUGGUAUGCAUAUGUACAGAUAAUCAAAGAACUGAACUAACUAGCAGAUUUGAAAAUGUUACUAGAAUAGAAUAAAACACCAUUAACUCCACUGAGUUGCUGGAGUGCGAGUAGUACAAUACCUACCUGAAUAAAAUUACCCCAUAAAGUUAGUCUUAGCAGGACUGAGGGGUUUCAAUAUAAGUCCUUGUAUAGUCAAGGAUUCCAGAUAUAAAUCAACAUAAUUAA